CCACGCAGCUGUCCUGAUCGUCCGGGGCAGAGCGACCCCAAGUCGGGCGAGCAGCCUGCGGACGGGGUCCAGAAAUGGAACCGGGUCCCCUUGUUCUCGGUCCUUUCUGCCUCCUCACUCCUCAGGCAAGAAAACUGAGGCACAGAGAGAUUGUCACACAGCCAGUAAGGUGUUGAUGCCCUCUAAGGCUCAUGCGUGUCAGUGUUUGUGAACAGUAGUAGACCCUUGCCUGCUUUGAUCGUCUCAUGUGUGGGAUCAAGUAAUUCUGGGGGCCUGAGCUGGGACAAAGGAAUGGAAGGAAGGAGAAAGGGAAAGGAGAAAAUCAAAGGUGGUGGAGGAAGAAAGACUGCUGCUAAUUACCGUCUCAGACACCUUCCUUGAAACCACCUUCGGAAACUACUCUGCCAGUCUAAGUGCUACCCUCAGCAUUGCUUAUUUAGUGGUCAUUUCGGUUUUUGUUUUUUUUUUUUUGAGACAGAGUCUCGCUCUGUCGCCCAGGCUGGAGUGCAGUGGCAUGAUCUUGGCUCAUUGCAAGCUCCGUCUCCCAGG
rnacentral:lncRNA from 10 species